AACGAACGCUGGCGGCAGGCCUAACACAUGCAAGUCGAACGCUCCGCAAGGGGAGUGGCGCACGGGUGAGUAACACGUGGGAACCUACCUUCUGGUACGGAACAACCAAGGGAAACUCUGGCUGAUACCGUAUACGACCUCCGGGUGAAAGAUUGAUCGCCGGAAGAGGGGCCCGCGUCCGAUUAGGUAGUUGGUGAGGUAACGGCUCACCAAGCCUGCGAUCGGUAGCUGGUCUGAGAGGAUGACCAGCCACACUGGGACUGAGACACGGCCCAGACUCCUACGGGAGGCAGCAGUGGGGGAUAUUGCGCAAUGGGCGAAAGCCUGACGCAGCGACGCCGCGUGGGUGAUGAAGGCCUUCGGUCGGUAA
rnacentral:rRNA from 1 species